AAUGCCCACACGCUUGUGUCUCAACAUCUAGUAUAGACACAGCAUAAUCCUCAGCUGCAGCAAGAUACCUCCCUAGACGGGGUUGAAAUCUUAUCUGGGCUGAACCUCCCUUGAACACUCUUGCACAGUUGCUAUUAGUAAUACUCCAGUAUCGUAUCUCACCAUCUCCAUCGCAAGAGCAUAUAAGGUCAUCUCUGUUUGGGUGGAAGUCUACUGACAUAACACAAGUAGAAUGUCCCCUAAAAGUAUGUAACGAGUUACGAGGAUU
rnacentral:misc_RNA from 1 species